AAAUACAUGAGCUCAAAAUUAUAGUAUUUGUCAGGUCCUACCUGUAUUUCAAUUAAACCACGCUUUCACCAGCGACCAUGCACUUGAGCUUCGCUACCCCUCUCACUAGGCUCCGUCUCCAAUUUUUCCACCUCUUCUUCUCUUCAUUUUAUACCAGACUUUGGCUUUCCUACACAUCUUUCGCUUCUCCCCUAACCUGCAAAAUCCUAAAUUCAUAAUUCAGAGCUAUCCCUCCAGCCAUUUCUCUCUCCCUCUUUCAUUUUCAGAUCCUCAUUUUUUAUUUAUUGCAAAAAAAAAAAGAGAAAUUGACUAAAAGACUAUAAGGAGAAAGGUAGAGACGAGGGGCAAUUGCGUGCAUCACAUAGAAAUACAGGAUGAUGGACGACGACAGGUUGUAACUAAAUUUACUUUUCUUUCUUUAUUUGUUGAUAGUAUGAUUUGUGGCUUGUUUUCGUAGUUCUUUUCCUGUUUUUCUUUAAUUCAACUCAUUGGAAAAACAAGAAAGAUUAGAUGAAGACAAUCAAUUAGGGGUGCAUUGUCCAUUUAAAAAAAAGAAGAAGAAGAAGAAAAGAGACAUAGUAGGCAUUUUGCACUAGAUUAUGAAUUGUCUAUUUUCCUAACAUGUAAAAACUCCAAAACACGAUCAACCUAGAAAUUGCCCCCAUCUUGAGAUGAUGGUGAAGCGUUUUCGGUGGUGGUAAUUUGGUUCUUCAUAGGAAGCAAAAGGGUUGUUAAGAGCAAUGAGGGAAAAGAGAGUCUGUUGAUGGAAGCAGGCAGUAAUUGUCACAAAUUGUGAAUGACAAAUGCAGGGGAAAAAAAAAAGGAAGAAGAAGAAGGGGGAAGUGGAGGACAAGGAGACUUGACAUUGCAAAAUAAAGGUGGUAAUUAAGAUGAUGCGAAAGCAUAAUAAAAAUACAUUUGGCCUUCGACCAAGUCUUGAGCAGCGUGACCAUCUAAUAUGAUUGCUUUAAUUUACAUGUCAAUUGGGAAACUAAUUUAGUGUAUUUAGUGUAGGUUUCCAAAAUUUGUUUAGAUAGGAAAGUGAUUUUGUAAAUGUAGUUUCAAAACAGGAAUGCAGUAAUCUUUUUUUUUUAAAAAACUUUGAGCAUAGUCUUCGAUUUUGUUCUUGCAUGCCUCUAUUAUAUCGAAUUCCACAGUAUCCGUGUAUGGAAUUACGAUAAUCACAGCACGCACUCGCACAGUAUAGGUUCCAUACCAUUACAACAUGUUUAAGUUGAUCAAUUAAGUUUGCCAGUGCUGCUUAAAUAAAUUUUUUUUUUUUUAAAAAAAAAAGAGAGAGAGAGAGAGAGAGAGAGAUAGAAGUUUGGGGGUUCUCUAAUUUUAAUCAUAGGAUUUCAGAUGCCUAUAAAACCGACCUAAGUCUUAGGGUGAUCUCCACUGUGUAUUUGUGUAGAACAGGUGAAGUUCUUAUAUAUCGAGCCAUUGACCAUAUCUUUAAUGGUGUAAAUGUUUAGAUUAGACAAAUUUCUAACCUUUUGGAAAUUUUAGAAUCGUGUUUGCCAUAUGGAAAAUCUUCCUUUAAAAUGAAAACAACAUAUUCGUGUAUUUUCAUUUUCUAAUAUUUGAAUUGCUUAUAAUUUGUACACCAAUCUUGAGAUAAGUUGAAUAACAUCAUCUAUGUAUGAAACGUUGUAAAGGAGUUAAUUCUUGAAAACUGCAUCCAUGCAAUGCACCCCUCAACGAACAGUCUUGUCUCAAUAUGUUGCAUCCCUUCAUAAGAGUCACCAACCAAGCAUAUGUAUAUGUAUAUAUAAGAUUUAUUUAUAUAUGGCAGGCAUUCUCUCAUAAGUUGCAUGCAUGUUUAGCAGAAACAUAGUACUGCUACAUUCAAGACAGGUUAUUUAACGCAAGUUCUUCGCAUCUUUGAUCUUCUGAUUAGCAGUGAUCUAUUUGCCGCCAUGAGGAGAAUUGAGCAGCAGACUGGUUGGGGUUUGGGUUCAUACGUGACGUUCAUCGUGGUGGCGCUGUGUGUGCUCUUCCUGCCGUUAGUGAUUGGUCCCGGUUCGCUGCCGCCGCCUCCUCCGUAUCUUCUUCUCACCAUCCCUGUCGUCUUGGUUUUCAUUUGUCUUUACCUUUCUUAUGCAACUAAUCAUUGAAUAAAUGGCAUUAGCCAUUUAACAUCUGCUCGUACUAUGUUGUAGUAGUAGCAUCUUAAAUGCCAUCUAUAUUGUGAGAACUCAUGUAUUUUUUUUCUUUUUCUUUUUCCUUUUGUUUUGUGUGUUGUAAUUUACAUUACAUUGAUUCCAAUGUAAUGUACAUUAUAUUGGGUCUUUCUUUGAAAAACUGAAACUGUAUAAGUUUGUGGAUCAAUGUAAUAUAUACAUAUACACAUAUAUAGUUGUGUUGUUUUUGAA
rnacentral:lncRNA from 1 species